AGCAGCCGCGGUAAUUCCAGCUCCAAUAGCGUAUAUUAAAGUUGUUGCAGUUAAAAAGCUCGUAGUUGAAUUUCGGGGUUAGUAGGUUGGUCAUGCCACUGGUAUGUACUGAUCUUACUGAUUCCUCCUUCCUGAUGAACCGUAAUGCCAUUAAUUUGGUGUUGCGGGGAGACUGGACUGUUACUUUGAAAAAAUUAGAGUGUUUAAAGCAGGCUAACGCUUGAAUACAUUAGCAUGGAAUAAUGAAAUAGGACGUUCGAUCCUAUUUUGUUGGUCUCUAGGAUUGACGUAAUGAUUAAUAGGGAUAGUUGGGGGCAUUAGUAUUCAAUUGUCAGAGGUGAAAUUCUUGGAUUUAUUGAAGACUAACUACUGCGAAAGCAUUUGCCAAGGAUGUUUUCAUUAAUCAAGAACGAAAGUUAGGGGAUCGAAGACGAUCAGAUACCGUCGUAGUCUUAACCAUAAACUAUGCCGACUAGGGAUCGGAUGAUGUUAAUUUUUUAAUGACUCAUUCGGCGCCUUACG
rnacentral:rRNA from 1 species